AUUGAACGCUGGCGGCAUGCCUUACACAUGCAAGUCGAACGGUAACGCGGGGCAACCUGGCGACGAGUGGCGAACGGGUGAGUAAUGUAUCGGAACGUGCCCAGUUGUGGGGGAUAACUGCUCGCAAGAGCAGCUAAUACCGCAUACGACCUGAGGGUGAAAGCGGGGGAUCGCAAGACCUCGCGCCAUUGGAGCGGCCGAUAUCAGAUUAGGUAGUUGGUGGGGUAAAGGCCUACCAAGCCUACGAUCUGUAGCUGGUCUGAGAGGACGACCAGCCACACUGGGACUGAGACACGGCCCAGACUCCUACGGGAGGCAGCAGUGGGGAAUUUUGGACAAUGGGGGAAACCCUGAUCCAGCCAUGCCGCGUGCGGGAAGAAGGCCUUCGGGUUGUGAACCGCUUUUGUCAGGGAAGAAAUCCUUUGAACUAAUACUUCGGAGGGAUGACGGUACCUGAAGAAUAAGCACCGGCUAACUACGUGCCAGCCGCCGCCGUAA
rnacentral:rRNA from 1 species